UAGGGAAUAUUGCACAAUGGGCGCAAGCCUGAUGCAGCAACGCCGCGUGCACGAUGAAGGCCUUCGGGUUGUAAAGUGCUUUUCUGGAGGACGAGAGCGGACGGUACUUCAGGAAUAAGGAUCGGCUAACUACGUGCCAGCAGCCGCGGUAACACGUAGGAUCCGAGCGUUAUCCGAAUUUACUGGGCGUAAAGCGCAAGCAGGCGGCCGGUUAAGUUGGACGUGAAAGCUCCUGGCUCAACUGGGAGAGGUCGUUCAAGACUGGCUGGCUAGAGGGCGGCAGAGGGAGGUGGAAUUCCCGGUGUAGUGGUGAAAUGCGUAGAGAUCGGGAGGAACACCAGAGGCGAAAGCGGCCUCCUGGGCCGCGCCUGACGCUGAGUUGCGAAAGCUAGGGGAGCGAACG
rnacentral:rRNA from 1 species